UGGGGAAUUUUGGACAAUGGACGCAAGUCUGAUCCAGCCAUGCCGCGUGCGGGAAGAAGGCCUUCGGGUUGUAAACCGCUUUUGUCAGGGAAGAAAAGGUUCUGGUUAAUACCUGGGACUCAUGACGGUACCUGAAGAAUAAGCACCGGCUAACUACGUGCCAGCAGCCGCGGUAAUACGUAGGGUGCAAGCGUUAAUCGGAAUUACUGGGCGUAAAGCGUGCGCAGGCGGUUAUGCAAGACAGAGGUGAAAUCCCCGGGCUCAACCUGGGAACUGCCUUUGUGACUGCAUAGCUAGAGUACGGUAGAGGGGGAUGGAAUUCCGCGUGUAGCAGUGAAAUGCGUAGAUAUGCGGAGGAACACCGAUGGCGAAGGCAAUCCCCUGGACCUGUACUGACGCUCAUGCACGAAAGCGUGGGGAGCAAACA
rnacentral:rRNA from 1 species